rnacentral:rRNA from 1 species
UACGGAGGAUCCAAGCGUUAUCCGGAAUCAUUGGGUUUAAAGGGUCCGUAGGCGGUUUAGUAAGUCAGUGGUGAAAGCCCAUCGCUCAACGGUGGAACGGCCAUUGAUACUGCUAGACUUGAAUUAUUAGGAAGUAACUAGAAUAUGUAGUGUAGCGGUGAAAUGCUUAGAAAUUACAUGGAAUACCAAUUGCGAAGGCAGGUUACUACUAAUGGAUUGACGCUGACGGACGAAAGCGUGGGUAGCGAACAGG